UACGUAGGGGGCUAGCGUUGUCCGGAAUCAUUGGGCGUAAAGAGCGUGUAGGCGGCCCGGUAAGUCCGCUGUGAAAGUCGAGGGCUCAACCCUCGAAUGCCGGUGGAUACUGUCGGGCUUGAGUACGGGAGAGGCGAGUGGAAUUCCUGGUGUAGCGGUGAAAUGCGCAGAUAUCAGGAGGAACACCGAUUGCGAAGGCAGCUCGCUGGAACGUUACUGACGCUGAGACGCGAAAGCGUGGGGAGCAAACAGG
rnacentral:rRNA from 1 species